rnacentral:rRNA from 1 species
CAGCCGCCACGGGAAUACAGAGGGUGCAAGCGUUAAUCGGAAUUACUGGGCGUAAAGCGCGCGUAGGUGGUUUGUUAAGUUGGAUGUGAAAUCCCCGGGCUCAACCUGGGAACUGCAUCCAAAACUGGCAAGCUAGAGUAUGGUAGAGGGUGGUGGAAUUUCCUGUGUAGCGGUGAAAUGCGUAGAUAUAGGAAGGAACACCAGUGGCGAAGGCGACCACCUGGACUGAUACUGACACUGAGGUGCGAAAGCGUGGGGAGCAAACAGGAUUAGAUACCCCUGUAGUCCCUGUCUCUUAUAC